CCCAUGUGGACCAUCCUUGCAGUUCUGGAACAGUGGAGAGAUGUUUCUUCUGCACAGUAUUUAAACAUACUGGGUGGCCAUGUCACAUCCAGCAUUUGCCCAUGGAAUUCUAUCUCAGCUGGGUUCCACCUGGUGGUGGAAUGAGAGCAUAGGCAACACAUAAAAUCACACAUGCAGAGGGAGUCCUGGUAGGUACCAACUCAUCACCUCUGGCCAAUGCCACUGUAAGGGCACUCAUUGUGACAAAGACCUGAUGUAAUUUCUUUAUGCCAUCAUCAUUUUUGCUUAUGUCAUGUGCAAUAAGGCCUCUACGCUCAGCAGUGUCACAAAGGAAACCUGGUUACUAGCAUCCAACUGUGGUUUCAUCUCUAUCAAGCUACCCCAAAGAGAAGCACUUAUGUACAUACAUUUCAAAUCAAUGCUUCUGUUUGAGGAAACUUUACAGAAGAACUCUUUUUGACUGAGAAAUAAUGUGCAGAGAUAACUUUCUGUCUGUCCCAGGAAUCCAGACCAACACCCCAACUUGAUAGCACUUUCUUUUACAUUUUAUGAGAGAGAUACUCGAGUUGAGGUAUCAGUCUGUCUCUGUUUUUUUCCCAAGUAGAUUCUGUUGAGUUUUCCUACACUUACAGAUGUAUAUCUGACACAAAGACAGGACAAGUGCUGGUCACUUCUGAGACUACCCCAAAGAGAAGCACUUUUCAUUGUAUUGGAGAAACAGUGCUACCAUUUGAAGUGAUCUCAGUGUGUUAUUUUCUGAUACUGUAUGUAGUGAAAUGUGAAGAGGGUCCCAGAUGAAAAUGUCACUGAAACUACCCCAACAAAUAGCACUUGCCAAAUAUUCAACACAGGUCAGUGCCAUUGUUAGAGUAAUGAAUGUGACUCAGCUCUGUUGCAGGUCCUUUGGGUCAUCAUCGCUUUCCCUCAGAUCAGCUGUCUACUACAUAUCCAAAGAUGUGGCACAGGGGUCCAAGUCCAUUUUCUCUACCUGCCCUCCAGGUACCAACCCAUGUGGACCAUCCUUGCAGCUCUGGAACAGUGGAGAGAUGUUUCUUCUGCACAGUAUUUAAACAUACUGGGUGGCCAUGUCACAUCCAGCAUUUGCCCAUGGAAUUCUAUCUCAGCUGGGUUCCACCUGGUGGUGGAAUGAGAGCAUAGGCAACACAUAAAAUCACACAUGCAGAAGG